rnacentral:rRNA from 1 species
GACGAACGCUGGCGGCGUGCCUAAUACAUGCAAGUAGAACGCUGAAGGAGGAGCUUGCUCUUCUGGAUGAGUUGCGAACGGGUGAGUAACGCGUAGGUAACCUGCCUGGUAGCGGGGGAUAACUAUUGGAAACGAUAGCUAAUACCGCAUAACAGUAGAUGUUGCAUGACAUUUACUUAAAAGGUGCAAUUGCAUCCCUACCAGAUGGACCUGCGUUGUAUUAGCGAGUUGGUGGGGUCACGGCUCACCAAGGGGACGGUACAUAGCCGACCUGUAACGGUGAUCGAGCACACUGGGACUGGAACACGGCCCAAGCCCCCUCGGGAGGGAAGAGGAGGGGAACGUCGGAAAUGGACGGAAGUCUGACCGAGCAAAGCCGCGGGAGGGAAGGAGGGUUUCGGGUCGUAAAGCUCUGUUGUAAGGGAAGAACGAGUGUGGGAGUGGAAAGUUCACACGGUGACGGUAUCUGACCAGAAAGGGACGGCUAACUACGUG